rnacentral:misc_RNA from 1 species
AGUCAUCAACCCCUCCCGUUUCGUGCGGAGAGGCGAGUUGGAGCUGGGGGCUUGCGGCCGAAAGGUCCGCUCCCCUCAAAUGCUUCGGUCGGGCCUGUGGGUCAAACUCGGUUGGGCGUUGUAACAACCUCGCUCUCCGUCCGAGACAUUCCUCUGUUUGUGCCCUUUCACGACCUGCCUCCUAGAGCGGCGGUCACUUUUUGAA